UACGUGAUAGGGAUAUUUAAUAUAGAAAGGUAUGCUGACAAGGGUGUGAGUCAUCUUCUGAAGAUAAAUACCAUCUGUGCAUGGAACAUGUGGUUAAAUAAGGGAAAUGCAUGUCAAUAAAGAGUGGCCACUUCCCCUGAAAGCUGUGCAGACCCAACACGGUAGCCAAGGGCCACUAUUCAUUGCUCUCUCACCAAGAAGUUUCUUGAAGAAGGAGGCAGAGUUGGACCUUGAAAUCAGUCAUUCAACACAUGUCUAAAUCUUUUCCAAAAAUCAUAGUCACUGGUUUGAAUGGACUAAUCAAGACCUAUGAACUGCUGUCUGCACUAAUAUCCACUUUCCCAGAGAUCAAAGCCACGUGGCCGGAGAGACAGACUUUCAGCUGCUUUUCUUGCAUCCUUUUCUGAUCAGAGUGAUUUAUCACUUGAAUGCCAUCAUCAGGUCACAGGCUUUUUACUUCAGAUAUUUGGUAUCAGACUGUUGAGUAUCAGAUGAUUUAGCAUUUGAGUUUAUGCUUAAUCUGUCUUAUAAACAACCCCAUGAUUUAAAAGAAAAAAAAUAUAAAACCCAUUAUAUGAGAAAAGCCUUGUCUACAGGACUCUUUAAGAAAUGGGAGGAGGUAAUACUUAGGAAAUCCAAUAGGCCUCAUUUAAUCUCUUCUUCCUUUAACCCAGGGAUAGACCUGCAUGUUGUGAUGAGGACGUUCCAUCCCUGAGCCGGGGUGAAAUGGUGCAGGGUAAGGGCAUAGUUCCUCACUGUGCAGGGAGGAAGAACAGGGAUCCUUCAGCCCCAUUUUUCAGAGGAAGAGGCUCUGAGAUUCCUGGCUCCUCUUGACCCUGAACUCACCGUUGUAUUUUUGGGAAGAAUACCCACAGUACUUCCACAGACAGAAAAACCUCGAGGGCAAGGCCCAAGUGUUAUGGUUCCUACGAUCUCUCUACUAACCUCAAAGAAUAAACUACAACAUUCUAAGCAAAUGGAUCUCUAUGUGGCCCCUGCCAGGAAAAUUGUCUGAGUCUGGUACCAACCCUUCAAAUCCAGAAGAGCUGGGCCCUAAGGUGGUGCUGAGCAUGUAGAAGAGGGGUUGCAAACCAGCUUUCCUAGUUGCUAUGACCACAGAUCCUAGGGACCUCUUCAGUGUUAAGUUUCUCCCCAGACCCCACUGCUGCACUUUGAGUUUGCUGGAUAUCUCUUCUUGCACCAAGGGCUGCCUUCCCUCACCUUUGCCCUGCCAUUUGAUGUCCCAAGUCUUGACCAGGCCUGCGUGGCCUCACCUUGAUAGCACCUUCACCAUAGUAAGUAUUCAGUAUCUGGAUUAGCAGACCACCAGGCGGGCCCAGUGAGAUUGGCUGGUACCCAGUAGCAACUCAAUCCAUACUCCAUGGAUGAAUGAAUGAAUGAAUGAAUGAAUGAUUGAAGGAAGUAUGAAAUUCCAGCCAUGCUUCCAAGGGGAGGGUCUGCAGCCCUGACUCAGAUGGAGACAGUAACAGGAGCAGUUUGAACCAGCCAUCACCACUCCAGCCUGGAGGCUCUGUGGGAAGAGACCAGGAGCAAGGGAGAAAGAGUAGGCCCUUGCUCUGGACAGAUCCUCUAGUGCUGCUGCUGUGAGGCCAGAGCAAGGAGCCCUUGUAAGGAUGAGAAAGGAAGAAGUGUCUCCUCUACAGCUCCGGCUAAGUCCAAGCAACCUCAGCAUUUCUUCAUUCAGAACCUUUGCUCAGCCUAGGAUGUGUUGAGGACAUAAAGAACGAAGUGACGAGUGCUCCCCUGACUCUGAGGGGUUCCAAAAGGGUCAUCUGUGGUCUGACGAUCCUCCUGGCUAAAUGGUUCCUACAGCUGUUGAUUAGGUUCAGAAGAAAAGGGGCUUCCACACACCCAUACCUCAUCUGCUAGGAUUAACAACAUUAAAAGAUAAGGCUAGUGGUGCUGCAGCCUCCUGACAUCAUCCUGGUCAGUCCACCUUAAAGAUGGAACUUCACAGAAACGAAGGGGUGGAGAGUUGUAUGAAACCAGACAUCUUCUGAAUUCUGCAGAAAAUGCUAUGGCCAGAUUCACUGUACAGAUUCUGACAAAUGCCAGAGGUGAGAGGGGGGUUUGGAUGUGGUCACAGUCAGUCAUAGGGCUGCAAUACAGCCCAUAUGUCUCUGGCUUUUUUAAAGAUUAAUUCACAAAACAAAAAGUCCUCAAGUGUGCCUGGUAAUGACAGGAGCUCACUAAAUAGUUGUUGAUAGACUGACCCAGCACGUCCCUAGCUGCCUGUAUACUGUUUGCGUAGAGCCAUUUUCCCGGAGGCCGAGGCAGAUCUGAACCAUGACUAGAAUCCACGCAGGUGGUGAUGUACACGUGGCAGCCUUUCCAUUCCACUCAUCCAUAGGCUGUGUUGGCCAGAAGAGAAGUUCUGAAUAGUAACUUCUCUAUAUUUUUGCUGUUAAAAAUAACAAACCCUGGGCACUAGAUCAGGAGCUAUUUCUUUCCUUGUAGACAAGUAGGUCCUGCAUGGAGAAGCAAGUCUCUUCUGCCUAGAGGAUCCAUAAUCAAAUGCUUGCAGAGGAGAUUAUAUUCUAGAAGCUCUGAAAUAGUCAGAAAUGCCCCCAGGCUCUCUGAGGGAGGGAUUCAUUCCAACCCAAAAGGAUGUGUCUAUACAGGCUGGUGUGAGCACGGGGUAGCUAAAGGAGUCUUGGGCAGCAAGCACCUGCACACCUGGCAAGGGCCACGGUGACAGGUGAGAUGGGUCUGAAGUGAGGGCAAAAGGACGUGGCUUUAUGGAACCUCAGGCUGACUUCAGAGACACCCACCUCCUGCCCCUGCCAGCUGCUCAGCCUGGCCCCCAGGGCACCUCCCCAAAAGCUUACCAGUCAUUCUCCGGCGAUGGUAUUUGUCACACACUGGCAUUUCCUACACUCCUUCUACUGACCACAUCUCCGGGGACUGCUGGGAGCCCACUGACCAAGCUCACGAGGAUGUGAGUCAGCAGGCCGGCAUACUUAAGAAAGGGGUGUUUGGUCCUGGCUUGAGAGCUUCCCAGACCCUGCAUUCCUGCUCCCCUGCUGUAUGAAAGCCCCCAGAUCACCAUUUCUUAGAAAGAUAAGAAGGGCACUCCAUCCAGUCUUGGGCCUCUUUGAGGUUCCUGCCCCAUUGGUAGCCCCAGAGGGAGAGCAUCACCAUUAUUCCUUUCGAACGGCACUGGAUGAAAACAGAAGAAUCACUGAGAAGCUGUUAAACAUUUAGAUUCCUGGGCCCCACUCAAGACAUUCUCUGGGGUGAAGGGUCAGAAGUAGGAAGCAGCAAUCUGCAUUCAAAUACAUCCUCCAGGAGCUUUCAAGACCCUGCCAGGACCAGGAAUCACUAAACAUUAAAGAGUAUAACAACUUCAAAAGGAGACCCUCUGGGAUCUCUGUAUAUCUGAGGCCAGCAGGAAUCUGAGAUCAUCUCCAACUCAGUGUAGGCUGCAACUCGCCUUCCUAAGCAUUCCAGACUCCCACAGACGACGCAGCUCCCAGCACGUUCCUGACUGCCAGAGACAAGUGAGGCUGACCGAUCCCCGGAAACGGCUAAACUUCCCAUAUUAUACGAAGGGCAGAGAUGUGUCUUUAAAAAGAAAAAUCAGAGUGAAGCCGGAACACAUGCUGCCAACAAGACUGAAUUAGGACUGGCUCAGAAAAGACCUGUUUUUGUUUUUGUUGUUGUUAUUUUGUUUUGACUCCUUGGCCAAUAGGAUUUGGUCCCAUUGAGCCUCAGCCCAGGAGGGACCCACAGCUGAAGCCACUGUUGUGAGUCACCGCAUAUUCGAGGGGAUGAGGGGUGAAGCAGCUUCCCCGCUGGGGUGGCACCUGCCUGCUGCUGGCGGGGCCCAGGUGGGGAUGGCCUAGAUGUUUGGAGGUCGGAGGGGGUCAUGUCUGACUUUCUCACAUUUGUAUCCUUAGCUCUUAGCGCAGCACUUAACCAACACCUAACACAACAAUGACAGGAUGAUAAACGAUUGAUGGCUUCGAAGGUGGGCAAGACAAAUCUCUCUCAAUCUCUUCACAGACUUAAACAUAUAUACACACUGGGGAGAAGGAAGGAGGCGGAGGAAGAGAAGGAGAAUGAUAGAUGCAUAAGGUAGUUCAUAGGUCAGAAUCAUAGAUGACUGCCUGGGGCGGUAGGGGGAGGACUCAUCCCUGUCACCAUAGCUCAGAGGUUCCAGGUCCAUCAACAGCCCAUUGCAUCUGUGCCUGGAAUGCUGCAUGAAGAGGUAGGAACAGGCCAUGAUUAGAAGGCCCCAGAGCAGAAAGCCCAUCUGUACCCACUUUGACCCUCACACAUGGUCUGUGGCCCACAGAACACCUCCUGCAGAAUCAUGUGAAGUCCUGCCCUUGUCCUGGUUGUUUCUCUUUCUCUGUAUGUCAAAAACACACUGGUUUCAUCUCUGGUUUCGCCACAUCAUGACAUUACGUGCACGAGAGGGCUCUACCUCUUCACAGCAUCAUCAGCCAAGGGUGAGGAGAGAAGCCCCACUGUCCACAAGAAAAUGAGGGUGGUGCCACCGCAUUUAACUCCUUCCUUGCCCAUCUGCUCUUUCCCUGGGAAACGAGUGUCAUGACAAUAUCAACCCUUAUUCCACGAAUAGUCACGGUUCUGUGGCAUCAAGGACAGAUACCUUUGAUGAAAAGUGGCUGGUUGUAUGUGCAAUAGAGAGAUUGUACUUCAUAUACAUUUUUCUGCCUUAAAAUAGCCAGAAGAAAAUCGCUGUUCUCUUGGCUCAAGCAAAAAUAAAACUGUUUUUUUGAGAGCCUUAUUUAAAGGGUUCAUUAUCUUGCAGGCUGCUAACUAUAUACUCUGCGCCACACUCAAUAAAAGCUUCAUAUAACUGUCUUUGAAAUUAACAGCCACCUCUUGUGCUUUUCAAGUUAUUAAAGAUGUUGGCAUGGUGGAGAGAUUGUAAACUUUCUAUACUGGUGAUUAGUCAGAGGGACCACAUCCCACCAAAUCCCCCAGAGCGUUCCUAACAAAAAGUUCCUUGUGACCGAAGCGCCAAUUUUUCUUUCUUGUCUGUUCAUUCUAAUUCCACUCAAUUACUCCUGAGCAAGCUGUUUUAUUCCUGUCAACUCAUGUUAUUUACUGGAGCCUGUCAAGAGGACCGAAGUGGAGGCUGAUAUUAUGUAGGAUGUUUUGAGACUCAUUAAAACACUUUAAAACAAUCACCUAUUGUGAUAUUCACAGCCCUAUGUGGGGUGGCCUUGCCUGGACCAUUUGGAGCCUGGAUCACUUUGUUUAUUUGCCAUUAAAAGCUUCAAGUUAGAA